rnacentral:rRNA from 1 species
CCUACGGGUGGCAGCAGUGAGGAAUAUUGGUCAAUGGACGAGAGUCUGAACCAGCCAAGUAGCGUGAAGGAAGACUGCCCUAUGGGUUGUAAACUUCUUUUAUAAAGGAAUAAAACGAGGCACGCGUGCCUUUUUGCAUGUAUCUUAUGAAUAAGGAUCGGCUAACUCCGUGCCAGCAGCCGCGGUAAUACGGAGGAUUCGAGCGUUAUCCGGAUUUAUUGGGUUUAAAGGGAGCGUAGAUGGGUUGUUAAGUCAGUUGUGAAAGUUUGCGGCUCAACCGUAAAAUUGCAAUUGAUACUGGCAGUCUUGAGUACAGUUGAGGUAGGCGGAAUUCAUGGUGUAGCGGUGAAAUGCUUAGAUAUCACGAAGAACCCCGAUUGCGAAGGCAGCUUACUAAGCUGUGACUGACAUUGAUGCUCGAAAGUGUGGGUAGCAAACAGGAUUAGAUACCCUAGUAGUC